rnacentral:lncRNA from 10 species
GGCAAAGUACACAUAUAAGAUGUGUGUUGAUAGAAACUAAAAAGCACAUCCUUUCUAUGUUCUGACCUGCUAGGUUUUUUUUAAUUCCAGAAAGUUAUUUGAUAACCACAUAACAUCUCAAGAACUAGUUGGGUUUGAAUUUCAGCUCUGCCUUAUAUUAACUCUGGGAUCUUAGGUAAUUUAUUCAACUUUUCCUUACCUCAGUUUCCCAUUUAUAAGAUGAUUAAUAUAUAUGCAGUACUGCUUUGCAUAUAAUAAUAGCUCAGUGAACCACAGAGAUGACCCCCCAAAUAGAUAUUCUAUUCCAUACUUUGUCCUGUUGAGCCAAUUGCUCUACCACAACCACAGCAACAUUUAAAUAUUUUGCGGGAAUCUUAAACACAGCAUGCCCCAAAUCACACUUAUCAUAUUCUGACUGAAAACUGGUUCUUCCAUUGUCUCCAUUUUAUUUUCUGAAUUUGCUAUAAUUCUCCAAUUUAAGCUAAUUGGAAGCUCAAGUUGCUUCCCCAAUUUUGGUACAGUUACCACAUAGCUUUCUUACUCCAUUUUAAGGGUUAAAGGAUUUCAAAUCUGAAAUCUUGCACAGAAUUCUGUCUGCAAAGAAAACUGCACAGAAAAUUUAUAAUGGGAUAUUUGAAGAAAAAAAUAGCUUAUCCUGAACAGCACCAGAAGUUUCAUUUUUUUCUGUACUGUUGUAACUCAGCAGAUAAUGUUUACAUUUGUGUAUAUGUCCUCCAACACAAAUAAGUAUGGUUGCUAAAUAAUAUUAUGUCAUUAAACUUCUUGUUUAAUGCUUCUUCAUUAUGAUUCAUUAUGAUUGUUUAAUGCUUCUUCAUUAUGAUGUGUUAGAAGUUUUUCAAAAGUUUAUACUUUGUCUCUUAGUGGCAAUUAAAAAAGAAAUAAACAUGAACUCCCCAAAUGAGCCACAAAAAUAAAUCAGCAUGUCUAAAUUUCAGAAUGAGAAACAAAGAUGCAAUUCUCUCCUCAGACCAAACGAAGCAGAGAUUUUCAAACUGCAGAGGUGCCACAGAAAAGGCUGAAUUCUCAAGCAUAGUGAGCUUAGACUUUAUAGCUAAAAUAGAAAUUUCAGCUUUUAGAGCUGAAAUAGAAGGUCUGAGCAUUAACAAAACAUUAGAACCUUGCAUUUAAAAAUUAGUAUGAGAAAUUUUUGUUAUUGUGCUGAGACCCUUACACACAUGAUUUCUUCUAGCCAAUACAGGCACAGAUUCAACAAAGAUGGUGCUUUAUUGUGAAAAUAGAAUAUUCACCUUGUCUUCUGACAUCAUAAAGACCACCCACAUUUGCACAGAUGCUGCUGCUAUAGUACUUUCAGGCAAGGCCAAGGCUUCUUGAAAGGCUGGUCAUGCCCCAGUGAUCAAUGAAGAACUCAGGGAUAUCCCAAAACUCAGGACUAUAAGGCACAAUGGGGGAGCAGGUACCAGGUGGCCAGCAUCCUAAAUGACUCUCAGCAGCUGCAGAGAAGAAAGAGGCAUUACCAUAUCAAAGCCUUUAGCCUUCUUGCAUCACGACAAAAAUUCGAACUUGGUGUUUGAAGAACAUGAAAAAUGAGGAGGAAUAAAAUAAUCAUGAGUCUCCUGGUCAUUAACUGCAUGAAGUUGAGCUGGUCACUUAAGCCAUUCCUAAUAUGUAACUUGAGAGUAUAGUAUUAGAUAUUCAGUAAAUUCCCUUCAAAAUUCAUAUUUAAUGUUUCCUAAUUAAAUAUAUAUUUGGGGCUAAAUAUACAAAGCAUGGUAGUUAAGUUCUAUAUUUACUUCCUCCCUCACUAAUUUAGCAGUUUUUUUUUUCUUUCUUUCUUCUUUUAAUUAGAAAUGGGGUCUUGCUCUGUCACUCAGGCUGAAGUGUGCAGCGGCACCAUCCUAGCUCACUACAGCCUCAAACUCCUGGGCUCAAGUAAUCCUCAGCCUCCUAAGUAGCUGGAACUGCAGGCAUGUGCCACCAUGCCCAGCUAAUUAAAAACAAUUUUUUUUUUUUUAGAAAUGGGAUCUUGCUGGAUUGCCCAGGUUGAACAGUAGCUUUUCCAAAAUAAAUUCGCUUUUUUUUUCUUAAUUUGCUGAUUUAUCAAUGUUAUCUAUGUAUCUAAUGG